GGGUGAGUGACUCAGUGGUUAGAGCCUAGGUCUCGUAACCGAAAGGUUCCAAGUUCGAACCUCGCCAGAGGCA
rnacentral:tRNA from 1 species